ensembl:lncRNA
CUUGGAGUGCAUAUAGUGGGUCUUGUGUGUCACCUUGAUGUUUGCUCGUUUCUUGGUGCUUCUCCCCCUCUUGGGGCUGACCCCCGGCAGCCCUGGCUGGCUCUGGCUCUGCAGGUGACAACCGCAGAAGCUGCUUCGCUGCUGGACAUUACUCCGUUGUUCGGCAGAGGGGCUUUAGGACCACUCCGUUGCUCUGCUGCUUUCGGCCGGGUGCCAGGACUGCCUGUGUCUCCUUGGCCUGCCUGCGCCCUGCCCCCUGCGUUGGGCGGCUCUGCUUCUGCGUUGGCGGCCAUUUCUCUCUCAGACGUGGGAGGGGUAACUUCCUGCCCUGCCGAGUCCAGCAGCUCCCGCAGUGAGCGGACGGGUGCUGCUGUGCCUUUAAUCGGUCUUCUCGCGGCCAGCCCAAAGAACCGUGCUGCCCUGGACUCCUUAUUAAGGUUCAUGUUCCUGUGUGUAGAUGUAGAGAAGAAGCCACCUCCAACUCACAGUGAGUACCUGCUGAAAUUUGAUUUUGGAACGACUUUGGAAGCUUGGAGAUGGUACUUUGUAAGUAAAUCUUUUCUAAAGGGCCAUUCUAAUCUACCCAGUGGGGAUUGAAGGAACCUGUUAUAGAAAGCUGAUGAUAAAGUCCAAAUGAGGUCACUGUCAACUUCACUGUAGAUUUCAAACAAAGGGAAAUUACUAAAAAACGUUUAUUUAAUGUGUCUUUUUGAGACCAAAGGUACCAAUUAACAAGGAAGUAUUGCAAGUUAAGAGGCCUUUUUGCCGUCAAUAACUGUCAUACAAGAUACAUUAGUUCUCUUACAGUCACUCUGCCACUGGAAUUUUAUGCCUCCCAUAAAUUUAAGCAUGAAUUAUUGUGAGAGAAUCACACAAGGGCUCCUGCUAAAUAACAUGUGUUAUGGUUAAGACAAUAAUUUCUUUCGUGACCUGGUGAAAAUAAUGACAAGUAAAUGGUUGUCUUGUUGGUAGCAAUGCAAAUAUAUCUCAAAUGGGUCUGGAGACAGAGAGCCUUUGAUCUAGUGUCCAGCUCUGUGUUGCCACUUCACUUGGUAUCUUGAUCCUGAAUUCAUCCCAACUUGAAAUUGGUUUACUUGUAAAAUAUUUUAGGAUAUGCUAGUUUUACUCUGCCUAAUUGUGUUUUCCUCAUCAGGUGAAUUUUAGUAGCUGCUGUCAUUAAUUUCUGAAGUUGGAAAUUAAAUAUAUCUAUGUGUGAGUGCAAAUUUCAGUUGAUGGGACUUUCCUAUCCUUCACCUUUAUUUUUGCUUUUGUGAAAACUGUUAAAAGCUUUGGUCAGAAAUUGCAAGAAGCAAGUUAGUCAAGAGGUGAAACCCCCACAAACUCUUUUACAUUUGUUUGGGUUACUUUUGUAUCAUUUUAGAUUUAGAACCAUCUUAUUUUAGUUACUACUCUAAUAAGAAAUGGAAAAGAUAUGGAUUUUCAUAUCCCAUAGACUUUUAUUGUGAGGUGAUAGUGUCAUGGAAAUCAGCAGAACCUUUUCCAUUUUUUUGCAUCCUUCUGAGUGCAAACACUAAAUGUGUUGAACAAAUAGAUCAUUCUAAAAGCCUUUAUUUGUCAAAGAAAGGAACAAUGACACAGACAAGCCUUAGCAAGAAUAGUUUUGCAUCUUGACUGAGCAGAAGUAACCCAACUGGAGAUGUAUCCCCUGAUGGAGGCAGUACAGAUCUUUUGACAAGGAAGCCUCAAGGUUCACCUUCUAUCAUCCAGGGCUGGAUGUGAGAUUCUCAAAUGCCUCUUUUGGCCAAAAGUGGUGGGGAAGAUAGCAAAUUUCCAAGAGUGCAAGAAUGGAGAAGAAUGGCUCUGCAGGCAUGGUUAGAGGUACAUGAGGUCUUCUUGGA